GGCUCCAUAGCUCAGCGGUUAGAGCACUGGGCUUGUAAACCAGGAGUCGCGAGUUCAAAUCUCGCUGGGGCCU